rnacentral:lncRNA from 1 species
UACCCUCUCCAGAAUUUAUUGUUUGUAGACUUUUUGAUGAUUACCAUUCUGACUGGUGUGAGGUGAUACCUUAUAGUUUUAAUUUGCAUUUCUCUAAUAAUUAGUGAUGUUGAGCAUCUUUUCACAUCUGUCUUCUUUGGAGAAAUGUCCAUUUAGAUCUUAUGCCCAGUUUUUGAUUGGAUUGUGUGCUUUUUUGACAUAAAGCUUCAUGAGACAUUUAUAUAUUUUAGAGAUUAAUCCCUUCUCAGUUGCUUUAUUUUGGAAAACUUUAGCUUAUAGACAAACUCCCUAUUGAUCCCACAGCUGAUCCACAGAUGAAAAUAAUUAGGCAAUUAUUUUUUUCACAUUCUGUGGAUUUCCACAUUCUUUUCAAUAUUUUAUGGUUUACUUUGAUGUACAAAGGCUUUUAUGUUAAUUAGGUCCCCCUUUUUUUUUUUUCAGUACUCUAGGAUUUGGAUCAAAAAAGAUAUUGUUAUAUUUAUGUCAAAGAGUGUUCUACCUAUGUUUUCCUCUAGGAGUUUAUAGUAGCCAGUCUUACAUUUAGGUCCUUAGUCCAUUUUCAAGUUAUUUUUGUGUAUGGAGUUAGAAAAUGUUCUAAUUUCAUUCUUUUUUAAUGUAACUGUCCAGUUCUACUUGCGUCACUUAUUGAAGAGACUACUUUCCUCUAUUGUAUAUUCUUGUCACCUUAGAUAAAUUGGACGUGUGUGGGUUUACUUCUGGACUUUCUGUCCUAUUCCAUUGAACUAUAUUUCUGUUUUUGUGCCAGUUUAUUGCUCUUUUAAUGACAGUAGCUUUGAAGUAUAGUCUGAAGUCAGGGAGCUUAAUUCCUCCAGUUCUGUUUUUCUUUUUUCAAGUUUACUUUGGCCAUUGGAGUCUUUUGUGUUUCUAUACAAAUUUAAAAAAAAAAUUAUAGUUCUGUGAAGAAUGCCAUUGGUAAUUUGACAGGAAUUUCAUUGAAUUUGUGGAUUGCCUUGGGUAAUAUAGGCAUUUUGACAAUAUUGAUUUUUCUGACCCAAGAGCAUGAUGUGGCUUUCCAUCUGUUUGUGUCAUCUUUGAUUUCUUUCAUCAGUGUCUUAUAGUUUUCAGAGUACAGGUCUUUUAUCUCUUUAGUUAGCUUUAUUCUAGAAUUCAUUGAUGAGCUCUAAUCAUUUUCUGGUAGCAUCUUUAGGAGGUUUUGUAUAUAGUAUUGUGUCUUCUGCAAACAGUGAUAGUUUUAUACCUUUAUACUUUCUUUCACCUUUAUUUUGCUAUUGAAUAACUAUUGAAUAAUUUAACAAGGUUUUAUUUGUUUGUUUUUUCUUUUUCUUUUUAAACUUAUGAGAAGGGUGAAAUAACUUAUUCUACUAGAGUGAGCAGUGAAUCUGGGAAUGGGAAUGAAAAUUCAGUUUGUUCAUGAAAAAUCCUACCAAUGCUCCGUUUUACAGUGCAUUUGUAUGUGCAAGUAAAAUGUGUUAUACAUAGUGCUUCUUAAAAAAAAAAUCCUUCAGUGGGUUUUUGUUUGUUUUCUUGGAAAAAAUAAUUUCCUCUAGUGCACUGCAAUAAAUAGACUGUGUUCAAAAUAAGUAAUGAUUGAAGAUUUGAACAAAUGGGUGUACUAGAUAUAUUCAAGGCUGCAUUCUGAGCUCAGGAUACCACAUAGUUUCCCUAAUAUUUUCAAAACAGCAUUUUAAGAAUGUAUUAUUUUUAUUUCCAUAUUUUCAUUCUUCUUUCCUUAUUUGUUUCUUUGUUUUGAAUGCAUGGUUUAAUUUUGUCUUUUUUAUUUUGGUAUCAUUUAAUCAGAGUCUCUUUAAAUAGGAAUUGUGCUAAAUAUUCAGGUUACAGUUUCAUAAUAUAUCUUUCUCCUUGUACCUCACAUUUUGAUAGGGUAGAGAUGUAUAGGAAACCCAUUUUGGAUUUAAGCAUAUUCUGGGCUUUAAGCAUAUUCCAAGAAAGAUUGUGGGUAAGUUGGAGCAACAAUAAAUCCCUAGCUGACAACCUGUCCUAAAGCCUCUGUUUAUGUAUGUGUGUGUGUGAAAAUAAAUGCAUCCAAAUAAUUCAGAAUCUUCAUUUUUUCUUAUUUUAUACUUCAACAAAUGCUUGUUGUAACAUGAAUUUUUAUAUUAAAUUAUUGCUUAAUUAUUAUUUAAAAAUGAUAAAUAUAUUAUUGAAGUAUGGGAGUGGUUAUCCUAAAUUGUACGUAAAAAUUCAAAGAACAAUUUAAAAAUUCUUGUAUGUCAAUGAAAAUAAUAUUUCAGGUCAAAAGCUAAUAAGACUUUCAAAAAUAAUAAUAUUAAAAUUCUUUCAUCUUAGGGAAAUUUCUCUGCAUGAUAGCAUUGAAUAAUAUUUUAAUGUUGCUUGUUGGAUUUUCUACCUCAAAUCCUACAGAUGACUAUUUUGGUUCAUCUCUACUUGUGCUCCAUUAAGUUCUUCUCUAUCAUUCUUUUUUUUUUUUUUUUUUCUUCUCAUUACUGAAGUCAAUUAAAGACUUUCUGUCAGCAAUUCAACUUCUAGCAGUGUCUGUUAUCUUUUGUUUGAUUUGAUUUUUCUUUUUUUUACUUCGUUGGUUAUUGGUAUGAUUUUGGUCCUUAGCUUGCUAUCUUUGCUGGCCCUUACAAGAGGUAGAUUAAAUGGUCAUUUUAUAAACAAGGGAACAAGCUACAAGUGAGGAAUUAACAUCACUGAAGCCUAAAUAUUUUAAAAGUAGAGUUGAUUUUCAAACUAGAAUUUGCCUGAUACUUGUUUGUCUUCUACACAUUAUCCAUAUUCCCCCCAAAGCAGCUAACUGAUUAUAAUAGUUUCUUGUUAUUGUACUAAAUUAAUAGAAGAUAUAGUUUUACUUACUCAUCUUUUUAUACUGUGUUUUUAGUUCCAUAAAAUUUGCUUUAAAAUAAUUAUUUAGAACAUUAGCACAUGAGAAAGUAAGAUGUUUAUUUCAUUUUUUUAAAAUUUAUUUGGUUAGGCAACACUGAAAGAAAAUAUUCUGUUGAGUGGCUCAAUUCAGUGAUACUUGAUAGUGAGUAGAGAUUUCAAGAAUUACAAUGGAUUUUAAAUUACAAAAAUCUUUUAAGGCACUGUUUAGUUUUUGUUUUGUGAUGUCUUGCUUAAAGAGAGGAUUGUGCUAAGUAGUCCUUUACAAUUCUAUAAAUAAUAAUUUGGCAAACAAAGGUUUGUGAUCAACUGUCAUAGGCAUUUAGAUUUCUCCACCUACCUCUCAAAAAAAAAA